UUAUCUAAUGACACACGGCCUCCAGGGGGCGGCUCCAAGUUUGGGAGGUUUCUCACUAUACAUAACGUCGAGGCACCUACACAUCGAAGCCCAUAUUUGCACGGCGACGCGUAGCUUCCCCGGCUUCGCCUCCUCUCGCUCCCCACCGUUUCGGUUCCCUCCGACGCCAAGAUGACCACUUCAAGGCGCCUUGCAGACAGAAAAGUUGCAAAAUUUCAGAAAAAUAUAACAAAGAGGGGGUCUGUUCCUGAGACAGCAGUUAAGAAAGGAAAUGACUAUCCUGUUGGGCCCAUUGUGCUUGGGUUCUUUGUCUUUGUGGUCAUCGGAUCAUCUAUAUUUCAGAUUAUCAGGACAGCUACAAGCGCUGGGAUGGCUUAAAGCAAAUGACUGACAAACUCUUGCUAAGUUUGUGAUUGAUAGUCCAAAUUUUAACCCAAUGCAAAAUUGGUAUUGGAAGAAAUUUUAGGGGGAAGCUUUGUGAUGUCGUCCUGUUUACACUGCUGACCAUAUCAGGUUUUUCCGAAAUAAUAAAGGGUGCCUUUCUGCCCCAACUUAAAAUUGGUGUUUGUGUUACUUUCUCUCCUAUCUUCGGUUUGCUCAUUAACAGCUGGAGCUUGAAUGCAUUUUUUUUUCCAUAAAAGAGU